rnacentral:rRNA from 1 species
UCAAACUUGAGAGUUUGAUCCUGGCUCAGAACGAACGCUGGCGGCAGGCCUAAAACAUGCAAGUCGAACGAACCUUCGGGUUAGUGGCGCACGGGUGAGUCACACGUGGGAACGUACCCUUUGGUGCGGAACAAC